CCUACGGGUGGCAGCAGUGAGGAAUAUUGGUCAAUGGGCGGAAGCCUGAACCAGCCAAGUAGCGUGCAGGAUGACGGCCCUACGGGUUGUAAACUGCUUUUAUACGGGAAUAACGCGCCUUACGUGUAGGGCUUUGCAUGUACCGUAUGAAUAAGGACCGGCUAAUUCCGUGCCAGCAGCCGCGGUAAUACGGAAGGUCCGGGCGUUAUCCGGAUUUAUUGGGUUUAAAGGGAGCGUAGGCCGCAGGUCAAGCGGGCUGUGAAAUGUCCGGGCUCAACCCGGGCCUUGCCGGGCAUACUGGCGGGCUUGAGUCCGCAGAAGGCAGGCGGAAUUCGUGGUGUAGCGGUGAAAUGCUUAGAUAUGACGAAGAACCCCGAUUGCGAGGGCAGCUUGCUGCAGCGGAACUGACGCUGAUGCUCGAAAGCGCGGGUAUCGAACAGGAUUAGAUACCCCUGUAGUC
rnacentral:rRNA from 1 species